CUGUACGUAAGCGUUGAUCCAGAGAUUUCCGAAUGGGGGAACCCACUAUCUUUAGUCGGAUAGUAUCCUUACGUGAAUACAUAGCGUGAGGAAGGCAGACCCAGGGAACUGAAACAUCUAAGUACCUGGAGGAAGAGAAAGAAAAAUCGAUUUCCUGAGUAGCGGCGAGCGAAACGGAAAGAGCCCAAACCAAGAAGCUUGCUUCUUGGGGUUGUAGGACACUCUAUACGGAGUUACAAAAGAAAGUUAUAAAUGAAGCGGUCUGGAAAGGCCCGCCAAAGACGGUAACAGCCCGGUAGUUGAAAUGGCUUUCCCUCCAGAGUGGAUCCUGAGUACGGCGGAACACGUGAAAUUCCGUCGGAAUCCGGGAGGACCAUCUCCCAAGGCUAAAUACUCCCUAGUGACCGAUAGUGAACCAGUACCGUGAGGGAAAGGUGAAAAGCACCCCGGAAGGGGAGUGAAACAGUUCCUGAAACCGUGUGCCUACAAGUAGUUAGAGCCCGUUAAUGGGUGAUAGCGUGCCUUUUGUAGAAUGAACCGGCGAGUUACGAUUUGUUGCAAGGUUAAGCGGAAAAAGCGGAGCCGUAGCGAAAGCGAGUCUGAAUAGGGCGCAUAAGUAACAGGUCGUAGACCCGAAACCAGGUGAUCUACCCAUGUCCAGGAUGAAGGUAAGGUAAUACUUACUGGAGGUCCGAACCCACGCACGUUGAAAAGUGCGGGGAUGAGGUGUGGGUAGCGGAGAAAUUCCAAUCGAACUUGGAGAUAGCUGGUUCUCUCCGAAAUAGCUUUAGGGCUAGCCUCGAGGUAAAGAGUCAUGGAGGUAGAGCACUGUUUGGACUAGGGGCCCUUCUCGGGUUACCGAAUUCAGAUAAACUCCGAAUGCCAUGUACUUAUACUCGGGAGUCAGACUGCGAGUGAUAAGAUCCGUAGUCGAAAGGGAAACAGCCCAGACCACCAGUUAAGGUCCCCAAAUAUAUGUUAAGUGGAAAAGGAUGUGGGGUUGCUUAGACAACCAGGAUGUUGGCUUAGAAGCAGCCACCAUUGAAAGAGUGCGUAAUAGCUCACUGGUCGAGUGACCCCGCGCCGAAAAUGUACCGGGGCUAAACAUAUUACC
rnacentral:rRNA from 1 species